AACGAACGCUGGCGGCAGGCUUAACACAUGCAAGUCGAACGCACCUUUCGGGGUGAGUGGCAGACGGGUGAGUAACGCGUGGGAAUCUACCCUUCUCUACGGGAUAGCUCCGGGAAACUGGAAUUAAUACCGUAUACGUCCUGAGGGAGAAAGAGUUCUCGGGGAAGGAUGAGCCCGCGUUGGAUUAGCUAGUUGGUGGGGUAAAGGCCUACCAAGGCGACGAUCCAUAGCUGGUCUAAGAGGAUGAUCAGCCACAUUGGGACUGAGACACGGCCCACACUCCGACGGGAGGCAGCAGUGGGGAAUAUUGGACAAUGGGCGCAAGCCUGACCCAGCCAUGCCGCGUGAGUGAUGAAGGCCCUAGGGUUGUAAAGCUCUUUCAGAGGGGACGAUAAUGACGGUACCCACAGAAGAAGCCCCGGCUAACUUCGUG
rnacentral:rRNA from 1 species